GAGUUUGAUCGUGGCUCAGGAUGAACGCUGGCGGCGUGCCUAAUACAUGCAAGUCGAGCGAACGGACGAGAAGCUUGCUUCUCUGAUGUUAGCGACGGACGGGUGAGUAACACGUGGAUAACCUACCUAUAAGACUGGGAUAACUUCGGGAAACCGGAGCUAAUACCGGAUAAUAUUUUGAACCGCAUGGUUCAAAAGUGAAAGACGGUCUCGCUGUCACUUAUAGAUGGAUCCGCGCUGCAUUAGCUAGUUGGUAAGGUAACGGCUUACCAAGGCAACGAUGCAUAGCCGACCUGAGAGGGUAAUCGGCCACACUGGAACUGAGACACGGUCCAGACUCCUACGGGAGGCAGCAGUAGGGAAUCUUCCGCAAUGGGCGAAAGCCUGACGGAGCAACGCCGCGUGAGUGAUGAAGGUCUUCGGAUCGUAAAACUCUGUUAUUAGGGAAGAACAUAUGUGUAAGUAACUGUGCACAUCUUGACGGUACCUAAUCAGAAAGCCACGGCUAACUACGUG
rnacentral:rRNA from 1 species